rnacentral:rRNA from 1 species
CCUACGGGCGUCAGCAGUGAGGAAUAUUGGUCAAUGGACGAGAGUCUGAACCAGCCAAGUAGCGUGAAGGAUGACUGCCCUAUGGGUUGUAAACUUCUUUUAUAAAGGAAUAAAACGAGGCACGUGUGCCUUUUUGCAUGUACUUUAUGAAUAAGGAUCGGCUAACUCCGUGCCAGCAGCCGCGGUAAUACGGAGGAUCCGAGCGUUAUCCGGAUUUAUUGGGUUUAAAGGGAGCGUAGAUGGGUUGUUAAGUCAGUUGUGAAAGUUUGCGGCUCAACCGUAAAAUUGCAAUUGAUACUGGCAGUCUUGAGUACAGUUGAGGUAGGCGGAAUUCGUGGUGUAGCGGUGAAAGGCUUAGAUAUCACGAAGAACCCCGAUUGCGAAGGCAGCUUACUAAACUGUGACUGACAUUGAUGCUCGAAAGUGUGGGUAUCAAACAGGAUUAGAUACCCCAGUAGUC